UUGAAAGGGAAACGAUUGAAGUCAGUCGUACUUGCGGGUAAUCAGCCUUUUGGGUGUGAUUCUGUGGAGUGUGAGGAGUUAAACGCCUUCAUGCCUGCAUAUUCGUGCACUUUGGGUGUACUUGCCCGUGUGGUUAGUUAACAUCAAUUUUGGUCGUUAUAAAAUGGCUGGAGGAAUGUAGCUUCGAUCUCGUACUGAAGUGUUAUAGCCUUCGGUAGAUGUGAUGAUCGGGAUUGAGGAUUGCAACGAAUACCUUUUGGGCUACCCGCCUGAUCUCUGAAAGUUGCUCUGGUGCCGAAAGCUUGCUUACGGUUAUCAAAGUUGACGUUCAAAAGGUUAGAACGGGUUAAAUUCGUUAAGGAUGUUGACGUA
rnacentral:rRNA from 1 species